rnacentral:rRNA from 1 species
UGGGGAAUAUUGCACAAUGGGCGCAAGCCUGAUGCAGCCAUGCCGCGUGUGUGAAGAAGGCCUUCGGGUUGUAAAGCACUUUCAGCGGGGCGGAAGGCGAUAAGGUUAAUAACCUCAUCGAUUGACGUUACCCGCAGAAGAAGCACCGGCUAACUCCGUGCCAGCAGCCGCGGUAAUACGGAGGGUGCAAGCGUUAAUCGGAAUUACUGGGCGUAAAGCGCACGCAGGCGGUCUGUCAAGUCGGAUGUGAAAUCCCCGGGCUCAACCUGGGAACUGCAUUCGAAACUGGCAGGCUAGAGUCUUGUAGAGGGGGGUAGAAUUCCAGGUGUAGCGGUGAAAUGCGUAGAGAUCUGGAGGAAUACCGGUGGCGAAGGCGGCCCCCUGGACAAAGACUGACGCUCAGGUGCGAAAGCGUGGGGAGCAAACAGG